rnacentral:rRNA from 1 species
GACGAACGCUGGCGGCGUGCUUAACACAUGCAAGUCGAACGGAAAGGCCUGCUUUCCCUUGUGGAUUGCGGGUACUCGAGUGGCGAACGGGUGAGUAACACGUGAGUGAUCUGCCCCCAACUUGGGUAUAAGCCUGGGAAACUGGGUCUAAUUCCCGAUAGGACUGCAGGGUGGUGCCUGUGGUGGAAAACGAUUUUCUAGUGGUUGGGGAUGAGCUCGCGGCCUAUCAGCUUGUUGGUGGGGUAAUGGCCUACCAAGGCGGCGACGGGUAGCCGGCCUGAGAGGGUGGACGGCCACAUUGGGACUGAGAGACGGCCCAGACUCCUACGGGAGGCAGGAGUGGGGAAUAGUGCACAAUGGGCGGAAGCCUGAUGCAGCGACGCCGCGUGGGGGAUGACGGCCUUCGGGUUGUAAACUCCUUUCGACCGCGAGGAAGCCACCUGGUUGGAAGGGUGGUGACGGUAGUGGUAGAAGAAGCACCGGCUAACUACGUG